GCCUGAUGUGCAGCAAGGUCUGACCUCCGUAUGAAAAUUUUUCCACAGUGUAAGCACUUAUGGGGCCUCUCUCCGGUGUGGACUGCCUGAUGUGCAGCAAGGUGUGACUUCCGUAUGAAACUUUUUCCACAGACUAAGCAUUUAUGGGGUCUCUUGCCAGUGUGGAUUGCAUCAUGUGCAGUAAGAUUUGAUCUGUGUGUGAAACUUUUCCCACAGUACAAACAUUUAUGGGAUUUCUCUCCUGUGUGGAUUAUCUGAUGUUUAACAAGAUUUGACUUCCAUAUGAAACUUUUUCCACAGUCUAAGCACUUAUGGGGCCUCUCUCCGUUGUGGACUGCCUGAUGUGCAACAAGGUGUGACUUCCAUAUGAAACUUUUUCCACAGUCUAAGCACUUAUGGGGCCUCUCUCCGGUGUGGAGUGCCUG